rnacentral:tRNA from 1 species
GCCCUUAUGGCGUAGUGGUAGCGCGUCUCACUCGUAAUGAGAAGGUCCAUAGUUCAAUCCUGUGUGAGGGCA